UGUUUAGGAUGACUCAGGGUUAAACUGUCAACCCUGAUGAGAUCAUCCGAAUCGUGCUUAACUCAAUUAGUCCUAUGACUCCUCACUAGGACUACCCUGGCCAAGGUUUUGCUAAAUUAAAACACGACUGUACACAGCUCCUAAACUGGAGUGGUCAAUCUCAUCUUGACACACGCACCGACAAGUCAAGUACUUGACUACACCCAGCAGCCUUCCAUCACUGAAUUAGAAAUUCAGGUAGUCCAAUGCCUAAGUGCAGUGAGUUGCUUGCAAGUCACCAUGGCGGUCUCAGGUCGGAGGGACAUUUAUACCCAU
rnacentral:lncRNA from 1 species